ACGUUAAUUUGCUUGUGACUGAUGACUUUGUCUAUUUCCUCACAUGCAAAUGAUUCUCCCUCUCCUCUUUCUGUUUUUCUCUCUUUCUCUGUUUUUUUGCGUAUACUUUUUGCAUGUUUAGACCAUCUCUCUACCGACCUUUCAGUGGCUCAGCAUUUUGUUGCAAUGCAUGAGUGAAGCUGGAAAACAGAGCCAAGUGACAAACUGUGAAGCAACAGCUCAGCCUCACAGAGCAAGUGUGCUUUGUGCUAUUUCUGGCCAGAGCAGAUGUGGCCUUGAUGGACUGUAAGGAACAAUAUCUGUCAGGUAAAAAUAAGUUACUAAGAUUAACACCAAAAUGAUGUAAAUCCUUCAUUUGCAGACAGAUCCUGAAUUGGGAGCCAUGUGGAAAGAAGACUGGAUUGGACAUCAGAUUCAGGGUCCUGCUUGGGUUUCUUCCAGAUGACCCCACCAAUCAGCCAUCCGGUCUCAGAUUCCACAUAUGAGUGAGAUCAUAUGAUAUUCAUCAUUCUGUGUCUGACUUUCUGCAACAUGGAUUGACCUAGAGAUUAUCAUACUAAGUGAAGGGGAAUGCCUGGCUUUCUCCUCACUUCUUUGCAUUUUUCCAGUGCCUUUGAUUUUGAAAGCACUGCCAGAAUGAUGGCUGCAUUUUCAGUGGUGGAAAUUAUUGCUAUGUCUCAGAAGCAAGGAAUCACAGGAUAUCUACUUUCCAGUGGUGAUAUAUGACUCUCAUAAGUGAAAGCCACACCAUCAUAACACCCUAAUGAGUUUUUUUCAUAGAAACAGAACAGAGAUUCCUAAUGUUUCUUGCAACUUCCCAAAGAAAAGGGAAAGAAGAAAAAAUUCAACUACAUGCCCGUUUGUUAGCCCAGCAUUGGAAGGGAACAAGCUUAAAG